rnacentral:misc_RNA from 1 species
UAGCUGUAAUGAGAGAACCAUUGCUUUUUUGGAGGAGUAUCAGAGUUUUUGGGCAUUAGAUUUCUAAAUCUGCACGAAAAUAUUUUCAGAGGUUGAACCCUACUCCUCACCCCUACAAUUACAAAACACCCUCAAAAAAUCCCUUUGUACAUUCUACUAAUGAUUCCUUAGCUGUCUUGUUUAUUUCCCAAUUUAAGUUGCAUUAGAGAUGAGAAACAACAAUUUUUGUUUCUAUACCUUUUACCUACAAGGGAUGACAGUGACAUCAAAACUUGAGCUAAAAUCAUAAUUCAACCAUCCUAUACAUAAAAACAAGACAGCUAAGGAAUCAUUAGUAGAAUGUACAAAAGGCACUCAAACCAAACACAAAACAGGGAACUCCACGCACACAUCAUCCAGGUGGUUGUCAAGGAGCCAUGAGGCAGAAAAACCUGGCACGGGCUGGUUUGUUAGAAUUUACUGUUCUGAUCUUUCAAGCUUCUUAACCGUACUGAUAGACAAUCCCUUCCCACUGGAAUCGGAUAAAGGGGGGAAAUCACCUUCAUCUUUCAACUGGUAUGACUGCAUCGCCAUCCUAUCCUGAUUGAUGGCCAAAACAGGUUUUGGCCCUUGCAUCCCUGGGGUUGCUUGGCUCACGCUAAAAUUGUGAGCUGGUGCAGAACCUGAGUUUGGCUGCCUACCAACUUCUGUCGAGGAGACACCAUGUGGUGGAUGUCCAAUUGACCCAAAUUCUACCAUCCUCUCUGACAUAUGCAUUGAACUGUUUAUAUUGGAGCAUUGUUUGGUUUCAGGAGAACCAGUGUGGCGAAGAUCUGAAGAUCCAAACUUUCCACCACCUUGGUGGAUAUGAAUUUGUGCUUGUGACAGCUCAUGGUCUCGGCAGUUUCUUUCUGGCAGACUUUUCUCCAGGGAAGUCACAACACGACCAUUGGAAUGAGGAGACCUUACUGGUGCUUGAUUCCUUCCCCCAGCUGUCAACUUCCUGUCCCUGUAAUGGUUCGUGUUGGGAAAGUAUGUCCCUGUUCCUCGAGGCUUUGGCAUUUCCUCCACACCAAAGGCUCCACCAGGUAGCAUGUGUGGGUUCGUGGGGUAAAAAACUGGUCUUGGUACAACACCAUUGACAUUCAUCUGGGAGACCACAUUCUGCCUAAACUGCAUUGACCGUCUUAUUACAUCCCAUGAAUUCUU